rnacentral:lncRNA from 1 species
ACUCUUCAAGGACAUUGCGUGGCCUGUCUGCUGGGAGUUCCAAGUGUCACUUGUCUCAAUACCUGUGCUUGAACACAUCCCCUGACAUGGAAAUGAUGAGCCACAAACUGCCCCAUCAGUCUGUCUGAACAUUUAACAUCACAGCCCACGAUCUUUACAGAGAACAAAAUCCAAGGGCUUCAUGAAGUUCAUUUCUACUCUGGAAGUGUCCAGAAGCACUGACUACACAAUUUUCAAAGCUCAUCAGGAAUGAACACGGCACAGACCAUCCAACCUGUGGGAAGCACCCAAAAAGCUCCGAGGAGUGUUGGAAGGAGCCAGCAGGGAAUCUUCUGCCCCUUCUGGAGGGAAACAUCUUCGCUUUUCCUGUUGGUUCCCCGCUCUGUCUUUGACCUCUUGGCCUCGCGUGUAUCCGCAGUAAACGGACAAAUUUAG